GGCACAAGCGUUGCGUACGGUUCGCCCCAGAUGCAAAGCAUCGGCGAUCAAAUGGGAAUGUGGAACAGGUUACCCAAUCGGGGCUUGCCACCACAGCCGCCCCCGCGACUGUCAGCGGUGAGCGCGUGUUCAUGACCACUGGGCCAAGUUGACCUGGGAAGGGAACGUCCGCGCUUUGACCCGCCAGCCAGGAGACCAGCCGUGCAGGAAACUGGAAC
rnacentral:ncRNA from 2 species